rnacentral:rRNA from 1 species
AACGCUAGCUACAGGCUUAACACAUGCAAGUCGAGGGGCAGCACGGAGAUAGCUUGCUAUCUUGGGUGGCGACCGGCGCACGGGUGAGUAACGCGUAUCCAACCUGCCCAUUACUCAGGGAUAGCCUUGCGAAAGUAAGAUUAAUACCUGAUGUUGUUAAAAACCCGCAUGAGUUUUUAACCAAAGAUUUAUUGGUAAUGGAUGGGGAUGCGUGACAUUAGGUAGAUGGCGGGGUAACGGCCCACCAUGCCUACGAUGUCUAGGGGUUCUGAGAGGAAGGUCCCCCACACUGGAACUGAGACACGGUCCAGACUCCUACGGGAGGCAGCAGUGAGGAAUAUUGGUCAAUGGCCGGAAGGCUGAACCAGCCAAGUAGCGUGAAGGAUGAAGGUUCUAUGGAUUGUAAACUUCUUUUAUACGGGAAUAAAACCUCCCACGUGUGGGAGCUUGUAUGUACCGUAUGAAUAAGCAUCGGCUAACUCCGUGCCAGCAGCCGCGGUAAUACGGAGGAUGCGAGCGUUAUCCGGAUUUAUUGGGUUUAAAGGGAGCGUAGGCGGGCUGUUAAGUCAGCGGUAAAAUGUCAAGGCCCAACCUUGUCCUGCCGUUGAAACUGGCGGUCUUGAAUGCACACAAGGGAGAUGGAAUUCGUCGUGUAGCGGUGAAAUGCUUAGAUAUGACGAAGAACUCCGAUUGCGAAGGCAGUCUCCUGGGGUGUUAUUGACGCUGAGGCUCGAAAGUGCGGGUAUCAAACAGGAUUAGAUACCCUGGUAGUCCGCACAGUAAACGAUGAAUGCUGGUUCUUGGCGAUAUACAGUCAGUGGCCAAGUGAAAACGUUAAGUAUCCCACCUGGGGAGUACGCCGGCAACGGUGAAACUCAAAGGAAUUGACGGGGGCCCGCACAAGCGGAGGAACAUGUGGUUUAAUUCGAUGAUACGCGAGGAACCUUACCCGGGCUUGAAUUGCUGAGGAAAGAUCCAGAGAUGGUGAUGCCCUUCGGGGCCUCAGUGAAGGUGCUGCAUGGUUGUCGUCAGCUCGUGCCGUAAGGUGUCGGCUUAAGUGC